AUCAUUUUCUAAUGUGGAUUCUUAACACGACUUCCACGUCUAAAUCUUUUUAAAUGGAACAUGAAUAAUAUAAAAUAGGAUUCAAUAUUAGUGAAUGAAAAAAAUUAGAUGGAAAUAUAACGAGGACGAAAUAUCUGUGAACAAAUAAUUAAGAUGAACUAGCUUUGAUACUAAAUUGAUAUUGGGUCUAUUAUUAUCCAAGUUCUUUUAUCAAUUGCCCAUCUCUUUUCUAAAUGUAGGAUUCUUAAUCGGAUGGGCAAUUAAUCUCUCUAUAGACUUGGACAAUACUUAUGGUGAUUUUUGAGGUUGAGUUAGGUCAAAAAUAUAUUUCUCGACAUGGUACCAUAUGGGCAACUUGAUUUUGCAUGCUAUCUGUUUGAAGAUGGCCUUAAGUUAGUUCUGAAGUUUAUUUACUAGACCAAUUUUCAUGCCUGGUUCACUUUUUGAUGAAAAGCUUGGAACAAAAAAGAAUCUGAUCGUUGGAGAAAAGCGAAGAAGAUGGCAUUGAUGAAGCAGAUGAUGAUAACUAUAAGGAAGAACAUGAGGAGGAACGG